rnacentral:rRNA from 1 species
GUAACGCGUAUCCAACCUUCCCUAUAGUAGUGGAUAGCCCGGCGAAAGUCGGAUUAAUACACUAUGUUGUAUUUAGAGGACAUCUGAAGAAUACCAAAGGCUUGCCGCUAUAGGGAUGGGGAUGCGUCUGAUUAGAUAGUAGGCGGGGUAACGGCCCACCUAGUCGACGAUCAGUAGGGGUUCUGAGAGGAAGGUCCCCCACAUUGGAACUGAGACACGGUCCAAACUCCUACGGGAGGCAGCAGUGAGGAGUAUUGGUCAAUGGACGGGAGUCUGAACCAGCCAAGUAAGCGUGCAGGAUGACGGCCCUAUGGGUUGUAAACUGUCUUUUAUACGGGGAUAAAGUGAGCCACGUGUGGCUUUUUGUAGGUACCGUAUGAAUAAGGACCGGCUAAUUCCGUGCCAGCCGCCGC